AUUGAACGCUGGCGGCAGGCCUAACACAUGCAAGUCGAACGAGUGGCGGACGGGUGAGUAAUGUCUGGGAAACUGCCCGAUGGAGGGGGAUAACUACUGGAAACGGUAGCUAAUACCGCAUACCAUCGGAUGUGCCCAGAUGGGAUUGGCUAGUAGGUGGUGUAACGGCUCACCUAGGCGACGAUCCCUAGCUGGUCUGAGAGGAUGAACAGCCACAAUGGAACUGAGACACGGUCCAGACUCCUACGAGAGGCAGCAGGGGGGAAUAGUGCACAAUGGGCGCAAGCCUGAUGCAGCCAUGCCGCGUGUAUGAAGAAGGCCUUCGGGUUGUAAAGUACUUUCAGCGAAGAGGCGUUACUAGCAGAAGAAGCACCGGCUAACUCCGUGCCAGCAGCAGCGGUAAUU
rnacentral:rRNA from 1 species